GUCCACGCCGUAAACGAUGUCUACUAGCCGUUGGGGCCUUGAGCCUUUAGUGGCGCAGCUAACGCACUAAGUAGACCGCCUGGGGAGUACGGCCGCAAGGUUAAACUCAAAUGAAUUGACGGGGCCCGCACAAGCGGUGGAGCAUGUGGUUUAAUUCGACGCAACGCGAAGAACCUUACCAGGUCUUGACAUCCUGCGAACUUUCUGGAAACAGAUUGGUGCCUUCGGGAACGCAGUGACAGGUGCUGCAUGGCUGUCGU
rnacentral:rRNA from 1 species